GACGAACGCUGGCGGCGUGCCUAAUACAUGCAAGUUGAGCGCUGAAGGUUGGUACUUGUACCAACUGGAUGAGCAGCGAACGGGUGAGUAACGCGUGGGGAAUCUGCCUUUGAGCGGGGGACAACAUUUGGAAACGAAUGCUAAUACCGCAUAAAAACUUUAAACACAAGUUUUAAGUUUGAAAGAUGCAAUUGCAUCACUCAAAGAUGAUCCCGCGUUGUAUUAGCUAGUUGGUGAGGUAAAGGCUCACCAAGGCGAUGAUACAUAGCCGACCUGAGAGGGUGAUCGGCCACAUUGGGACUGAGACACGGCCCAAACUCCUACGGGAGGCAGCAGUAGGGAAUCUUCGGCAAUGGACGAAAGGCUGACCGAGCAACGCCGCGUGAGUGAAGAAGGGUUUCGGAUCGUAAAACUCUGUUGGUAGAGAAGAACGUUGGGGAGAGUGGAAAGCUCAUCAAGUGACGGUAACUACCCAGAAAGGGACGGCUAACUACGUG
rnacentral:rRNA from 1 species